UGACACUUAAACUUACUGAAAGCAUGUUUAAGCCUUUAUUCAUUAGAAGUGUUGAGUGGGCAGAUUCAGGUUUAGAUGAUGGUGCAAGUGCUGGAAGCCCAAGUAUUGACAGGGCUAUAUCUUUCUAUGGGCUAGUAAAUAAACUUGCUGAGAAACAUCGGUCACUUUUCAUUCCCUACUUCAAGUACUUGCUAGAUGGAUGCGUUCGCCACCUUACAAAUUCAGGAGAUGCAAAAUAUACCGGUUCAAUCCAAAAAAGAAAGAAGGCUAAGGUGCACGUGAGUGGUGAUUGUAAAGAAGAAACUGG
rnacentral:misc_RNA from 1 species